CGCCGCGCUCUGGUCCUUCGGGAUUGGGGUUGUGUGUGGGUCUUGGGGUCCCGGUGAUGGUAGGCAAGCGUGUUAACAGGGGUGACGCAGACAGGUAACUGCAGUGCGCCGAUGGUUGUGCGUAUUUAAGGUUGUGGCCCGCCCUUCAGGUAAAUCCGGGGGGCAUAGUGGGUGAGGACUGAUGAGGGACACACGCGUGUGUGGACUUGUGGUGAUCCUAUGCUGCCGAGAAAAGCCUCGACGUGAGGGCAUGACCUGCCCGUACCCUAAACCGACUCAGGUGGUCAGGUAGAGUAUACCGAGGCGUUCGAGUGAAUCGUGGUUAAGGAACUCGGCAAAAUUCCUCCGUAACUUCGGGAUAAGGAGGACCCCGUGACUUCCCAAUGCUUUGCGUGUUGGUGGGGUUGUGGGGUCGCAGAGAAUAGGGAGAAGCGACUGUUUAUCAAAAACACAGGUGCGUGCGAAGCCGUAAGGCGAUGUAUACGCACUGACGCCUGCCCGGUGCUGGAAGGUUAAGAGGAACUGUUAACACCCCCCCUUGGGGUGUGAAGCGGUGAAUUUAAGCCCCAGUAAACGGCGGUGGUAACUAUAACCAUCCUAAGGUAGCGAAAUUCCUUGUCGGGUAAGUUCCGACCUGCACGAAUGGCGUAACGACUUCUCCGCUGUCUCAACCGCGAACUCGGUGAAAUUGCAGUACGAGUAAAGAUGCUCGUUUCGCGCAGAAGGACGGAAAGACCCCGGGACCUUUACUAUAGCUUGGUAUUGGUGUUCGCUUGGACUUGUGUAGGAUAGGUGGGAGACUGUGAAGCUGCCGCGCCAGCGGUGGUGGAGUCGUCGUUGAAAUACCAUUCUGGUUUAAGCGGUCACCUUAACCUUGGCCCGUGAUCCGGGUUGGGGACAGUGCCUGGUGGGUAGUUUAACUGGGGCGGUUGCCUCCUAAAAUGUAACGGAGGCGCUCAAAGGUUCCCUCAGCCUGGUUGGUAAUCAGGUGGCGAGUGCAAGUGUACAAGGGAGCUUGACUGUGAGACCGACGGGUCGAGCAGGUGCGAAAGCAGGAACUAGUGAUCCGGCCAUGGCACGUGGGUGCGUGGUCGCUCAACGGAUAAAAGGUACCCCGGGGAUAACAGGCUGAUCUUGCCCAAGAGUCCAUAUCGACGGCAUGGUUUGGCACCUCGAUGUCGGCUCGUCGCAUCCUGGGGCUGGAGUUGGUCCCAAGGGUUGGGCUGUUCGCCCAUUAAAG
rnacentral:rRNA from 1 species